CUGGCGCAGUUCAAUAAGCUCGUCUAGUCUGGAUUCGUGUUCUCUCUCUCUCUCUCUCUCUCUCUCUCUCUCUUAACUGACAAACUCAUUUCUCUACCGGGACAGAAUGCUGUGCUCGCUGGAAGUUCCAUUUCUACAGCAAGAAUCCUAUCUGGAAACAGAAGUUGUCCUCUAGCUACAGCAGCUUGAACUUUUUUGACUGUUGCUGCUUUAUCUCACCACCCCCAUUCCCUUUUGACAAAGAUCCAACUGUAAAAAGUCUUACGUAACAGUUCAGGACUACUUCGGUUCUUUUCUUGGGUGCCAAGUAUAAUCCAGAAGACAAAGGUAGACUGUGAAAACAUUUGCAUCCCCAAAUUGAAGCGACAUAAAUUUCAAUAUUUUGUGAGACUUCUGGAAAAGAAAAGGAGCAAAGAUUUCUUCUAGGAACUACCUAUCUUUGACCGAAAAGCAGAAGAAUAAUCCAGUGGAAAAGGAAGGAAAACUCCACUACUUUUAUAAAGAAAGAGCUCUAUGGAAACGAACCACAGCUGUGGGGAUGACAGACAGAAAUGGGCUGCAGGUCCAAUGGUGGAGAUGGUCACUUUGGAGGGCAGAAAUAUCCUCCUCUGAAAAUGAAGCUGACCAAGGAAAUUCCAGUCCACUCUUGUUCCUCUCGCAGGCUGCACCUCAAAAGGAUUCAGCAGGGCAUUUGUAAUCCUAUAUCCUGAGCACAGGACCUGGCAUAAAGCAGAAACUCAGUAAAUGUUUGUCAAAU